rnacentral:lncRNA from 1 species
AAGGCCACUUGAGGGAAAGCCGCUCCCAGGGAGGCUCUAGCGCGUUCCGGCAGCAGGCGCCUGGUCAGCCACCUGGUCAGCGACCAUUUCCACCCAGCACACCCGAGUGAGUGGUCCAGCCACGGCCCUCAGACCUGGGAUUUUCCUUGCAACCUCUUUCUCUCCAGGGGAACCUCUCUACCUCCGGGGUCUGCUUCUGUAGGCAGUGAGUGCCCAGCCGGACCCCAGAGGGCCAUGCGGUUCCAAAAGCAGCCCAGUCUUCAGGCCUUGGGCUUCAAAAAUGUGGAACAGACACUGACCAUCCAACCGCUCGUCGGCCUAAGAAGCACAGUCUUCACCAGAGACCUAGAACCGCCCGCGGUCUGCCCUGGUGCGCUCCCCGAGAGCGCGGCUACGCAGUCAGGACGUGGAAGUGGCUCUGGCCACAGCCCUGCACCCAUCACACCAGCCUGGACGGGUGGUGGGCGACCCGUGCACCUCCAUCCGCCAGGCUCUGCGCAGCCCCGAGCUCCAGGGGCAGCCCUGGGUGUGCCCGCCGGGUUCUGGGACACUGCCCUCUCCCGCCUCGGGCACCCUGGCCGAGCCCCUUGGGAGCGAUGCUGGGCCAGGGGGCCUCCCCGCCUCACUGUCCCUCGUUGCUCCUGCUCUUCACCGGGACUCGCUGUCCACUGUCACCACUUGCCUGGACACUUUCCUGCCUGACGCCUCCUUCGCCCUCUCACCCCGACUCUGUUGGCUUCACGGUGUCUCUGUCUCAGAAAUUGUCACAUUCUUUUCCUCUUCUUUGGAGACAGGGUCAUGCCAAGUUGCCCAGCCUGGCCGCAACCAUGUCACAUGCCAUCCUCCUGCCUCAGCCUCCCAAGGAGCUGGGAUGACAGGUGUGGCCACCACGCCCGACUUCAAAUGAUUAGAAAAACAAAACAGAACAGAACCUUAUUUGUGGAAGACACCAAACCCGCGCAGCCACGGCUUCCCCCACUACUCCUGGUGACAGGGUGUCCCUGCUGUGUCCUUGGAGUUGCUGGGGACAGGGCAGUAGCAGCAGCCAGGGUCUUCGGCAUCCGGCAGGGCCCGGCCAGCUGGCUCUUGAAUGGACAGUGGAAGAGAGGACGUGGCAGGUGGGCCCGGGAGGAAUCCGUCCCCUGUGCCCCUGACCAGCGUGGCCUGGGACCCCACAGGGAUGUGCCAUGCCAGGGAUCACGUCACACAGACCCCCAGCAUGGCGGGAUGCCACUGCUGCAGCUGAGAUCAUCUGUCACUCCCCCGCAUCGCCCGGGUGGGGGGGGUCUCAGAGAAGACCCGACACACAGCUCUCCCCUUCAGGUCUGGGCUGACUUCUCUGUGGGCACAGUGACAAAGCCCUGAGACACUGCUGGAGUGG